UUGGAAUCCAGAGGCCCUACGCCCGAAACCAAUGUAACAUUCUGUGUCAGCUGUGUGUCAGUUAAAAAAUACUUAGCUCAACUGGGAAGGAGACAGACCACCUGGCAGGAGCAGGCCAUGUAUACAAGCGUGACUUAUGGGCAUGAGGCAACCACUACAGGACCUGCACCCACAAGUUCUGUUAGCAUGGGGAGACUACUUCUCCUUGGUAGGAUCCAGGAGGGCUUCCCAGAGGAGACGGCUUCUGAGCUGAGUUUUGCAGGGUAAACAUGAGCCUCAAGGAGCCUGGUGUCCAGUGCCUGACACACUGUCUGAUGACCAUGAGCGGCCCACGUUGGCAAAGGAGUG